rnacentral:rRNA from 1 species
UACGAAGGGUGCUAGCGUUGUUCGGAAUUACUGGGCGUAAAGGGCGCGUAGGCGGCUUUACAAGUCAGAGGUGAAAUCCCACGGCUCAACCGUGGAACUGCCUUUGAAACUGUAAAGCUAGAGUGUCGGAGGGGAUAGCGGAAUUGCUAAUGUAGAGGUGAAAUUCGUAGAUAUUAGCAGGAACACCGGUGGCGAAGGCGGCUAUCUGGACGACAACUGACGCUGAGGCGCGAAAGCAUGGGGAUCAAACAGG